ensembl:lncRNA novel transcript, antisense to SLCO3A1
GAAGAAUUAAAAUAGUGCUUUUAAUAUAAUUUUCAGCAAACGUACAGUAUGUACUUUACAUCACAUAUUUCUAAACUGCUCAUUUGGAAAAUAAACGCUGCAAAAAUACAGAGUACCACACUCAAAAAUCUAUUGAGUAUGUGCUUUUUCCCCCCUCCAUUCUAUGCAACAGGUUGGUUUUUACCCUCUCGGCUGAUUUCAUUAAAGCUGUUGGAGCCCUCAGUCAGAGGAGCAUUCCCAAGAGGGGAGUUUCUAAAGCAUGUCGGCAAGCCAUCCCCAGAGGAGGUAGAGGGAUGGGUGGAAGGGAAUUUGCACACCAGGUCAGCAUGACUCUUUAGAGACCCAGGAAAGAUGCCUACUCUGAGAGCUGUUUGGAGUACUCCUGACCAUAAGUCACCUCUUUGGUCCUCAUCACAGGAUGAAGGCGAAGGAUUUGAGCGCGAUGGCGAUGCUGACAUACAGGUAUCGGUAGACCACAUUGUCGUAGAGGACGCAGGCGCCUUGCUCCCCACAGAACGUGCUCCAGAACAGGCAGGUGG